rnacentral:misc_RNA from 1 species
UCUCCGUAGGUGAACCUGCGGAGGGAUCAUUACAGAGUUCAUGCCCUACCGGGUAGAUCUCCCACCCUAUGUUAUUAUUACUUUGUUGCUUUGGCGGGCCGUUAGGCUCCGGCCCGACUACCGGCCCCGGCUGGUAAGCGCCCGCCAGAGGACCCAAAACCCUGAAUAUUUGUGUCGUCUGAGUACUAUAUAAUAGUUAAAACUUUCAACAACGGAUCUCUUGGCUCUC